UAAAGACAACUUCUGACUCAUCUCUUCUUAUUUCUCCUCAUCUUUUACCUGUGGCUGACCUUGUCCCUUGCUUUUUUGCUGUCAUUUUGUAAGUACAUGAUAUGUAAGUAUAGGCCACCACCAAAGGACAUUUACGGGAGCCACACAGUACUGAGGGCAUCAUCACAAUCCAUUCAUGUUUCAUAAGCACGAUUUCAAGGGCAGAAUCACUAAGAACUUCAAGCUGUUCUAUUACAACACAAGCCUAUUGUGACAUCUAGUGGUUAUAUCUGUAUGUAUCACCAAGCAAAAAGUUGAUUUCAAAAUAACAAUUUAAAAAUUCAAGAACAGUGCAACAGUUUGAAGCAACAUAGUGUCCCUAACAAAAGCCGUAACCCUCCAUGGUGGUAUCCUGCCUCAAUUCCCCAUAGCCUGCUCUGAUUAGACCUGUUGAUGUUAAUUGUGUUCAGUCCAAUAUACUACAUUUGAGGAAGCAUAUUCAGUUCAGGUUUAUCUAAAGGAGAUCCACUGAGGACACUAAAGAACAUUCUAGAAGAAGGAACGGGGAUUGUUUUGCUUGGUGAAGAGGAAACAUAAGAAGGUAUGUGAGUUCCUUAAGGGCAGGGACUAUGUUUUUGCUUCUCCUGGGAUCCCCGGCACUUAGCACAGGACCUGAAGGAGUGAUGAGAAGACAAGAUUUUUUUUAUCUCACUGUCCUCCACCACCUUACUACCUCUCUGCUAUGAGUUGAAAAAUCAAUGGCUAUGUCAACAUAGACCCACUGACCCAGGAGAGUUAAGGAAACGGAGGUAGACAGAGUUUAAGUGAGAAGGAACAAAGAGUCAAAUCACUCAAGGAGGAGGCCUGCUUCAACACACAGUCCAGAACAAAUGACAAGGAAAGAAGAAAAUGAGCUAACAGGGAGUUGAUUCACAAGGAUCAAGAUCUGUCAGUGCUCACGUGCCAGAGAACAUCAGCCUUAUCUGAUAACCUUUAAGACAGUAAGUAGUGUGCAAAACAAGGUGAAGAAAGCAGCAGCCUUAAACUCCAAGGUCUUGCCUUUGACCUAUGACCUCCAAUAAAGAAAUCACUUGACUUUUCCUUAUAGACUGGAGAUUAAAAAACAUUAGGUUCAUUUUCUA